rnacentral:rRNA from 1 species
GGACGAACGCUGGCGGCGUGCCUAAUACAUGCAAGUAGAACGCUGAAGAGAGGAGCUUGCUCUUCUUGGAUGAGUUGCGAACGGGUGAGUAACGCGUAGGUAACCUGCCUUGUAGCGGGGGAUAACUAUUGGAAACGAUAGCUAAUACCGCAUAACAAUGGAUGACACAUGUCAUUUAUUUGAAAGGGGCAAUUGCUCCACUACAAGAUGGACCUGCGUUGUAUUAGCUAGUAGGUGAGGUAAUGGCUCACCUAGGCGACGAUACAUAGCCGACCUGAGAGGGUGAUCGGCCACACUGGGACUGAGACACGGCCCAGACUCCUACGGGAGGCAGCAGUAGGGAAUCUUCGGCAAUGGGGGCAACCCUGACCGAGCAACGCCGCGUGAGUGAAGAAGGUUUUCGGAUCGUAAAGCUCUGUUGUAAGUCAAGAACGGGUGUGAGAGUGGAAAGUUCACACUGUGACGGUAGCUUACCAGAAAGGGACGGCUAACUACGUG